UUGGAGCCUGCUGACCCUGCUACCCAGAAUGCUCUUCUCCACCUCCUUAUCUGAUGAACUCUUCACUCUGGGAUCAUCCCACAGUGUCACUUUCUCAAAGAAGACUUCGAUGGGACCUCCUGCUGGGCUGUGAGCUGCAUGGGAGACUGUCCUCGUCCAGCCCAGAACCUGUCACUCAGAUGGCACCAGGAAGUGUUUGCUAUGGGAUGAAGAAAGGAUAAAUUCUGAUUAAACUGGCUUGCUUCUCUUCAAGCAACGUUCAAAAUAAAUCCUUUUCUUAUAAGGUUUCCUACAACCUUUUCAUGAGACAUCUUGUAUUAUAUUCCAUCUGAAGAAAGGUCUGGACAAAGAAUAACUGAGCUCAGAGCCAUCUGUCUCACCUUAA